GACGAACGCUGGCGGCGUGCUUAACACAUGCAAGUCGAACGGAAAGGCCCUGCUUGCAGGGUACUCGAGUGGCGAACGGGUGAGUAACACGUGGGUGAUCUGCCCUGCACUUCGGGAUAAGCCUGGGAAACUGGGUCUAAUACCGGAUAGGAGCCAUUUUUAGUGUGAUGGUUGGAAAGUUUUUUCGGUGUAGGAUGAGCUCGCGGCCUAUCAGCUUGUUGGUGGGGUAAUGGCCUACCAAGGCGGCGACGGGUAGCCGGCCUGAGAGGGUGGACGGCCACAUUGGGACUGAGAUACGGCCCAGACUCCUACGGGAGGCAGCAGUGGGGAAUAUUGCACAAUGGGAGCAAGCCUGAUGCAGCGACGCCGCGUGGAGGAUGACGGCCUUCGGGUUGUAAACUCCUUUCGCUAGGGACGAAGCUUUUUGUGACGGUACCUAGAUAAGAAGCACCGGCUAACUACGUG
rnacentral:rRNA from 1 species